AGGUGAAGCAUGGCCUCUUUUUAUACAAGAUAACACAGACAGUGGAAAUAUUAAUCAAGUCCUUUUAAAGCCAGGUGAAAUGUUAUGGUAUGAAUCUGCCAGACUAGUACAUGGACGUCCUGUACCCUUCCAGGGAGAAUAUUACGAUAAUGUUUUUGUUCAUUUUAAACCUAGAAGGAAAUGGUAUUGGACUGCUGCAAGGUGGGUUGAGGGGGAGAGACCAAAUAAAAGAAUACUUGUUCAAACUGAUAUCAAGGGAAUCAAAGUUCUAAACCAAGUAAGAAGUUGAUUCCUCGAGGUGAGCAGUUAACACAACUGCAGGUCGAUACAGAUCUACAGAUGGAACAUACAGGAGGACUCAAAAAGAAUGAUACUGUAAUGACGAGGGGAAAAUGUUUUAAUAAAACAAUAAUAAUUAAAGUAAUUGAAUCUUUGCCACAAACUUUGAUUUUCUAAUCCCUAUAUUUUUGCAACCUAAUGUAGUACAUCUUAUUCAAUAAUUAGAUAAGGAAAAACAAAGUUCACAACUGUAGGUAACCCAGAAUGUCAGAAAAAAAAAUUUCGUUCAGUCUUUUCUGAAAUCCGACCCUGAAUUUAGUUAUCAGGUUCAAGAGAUUUUAUGUCACAACGAAUAUUUGAUAUGUAAUAAUCUAAAUUCAUGUAAUGAUGCAUAUAUAACAUGUGCCAAUGUAAAAAGUACAUUUCAUAUGUAACAUUCUAAAAUUUGCAUGAGUGCAUUUGAUAAUUUACACGUUGUAAUAAGCUAAAUAUAGGUUUGUAGAUAUAUAUCAUGUACCUAAAAAAUGUACAAUUGUUAA